AUGCUGGCUGUUUACACAGAACUUCGCACGCUUUUCAAAGAAAAGUCUAUUUUGGAGUCCACACUUUCAGGUAAGAAUGUAUUAAAGAUAUAUUUUCAGUCUAAUUUUUACAUGUGAAGCCGUGUUCUGUUGAUUUUGUCUGACUCUCUGGUCUCGGCUUUCCCCCGCUUUGUGCUCCGGGCUGGCUGGUGUAACGUUACGUUGGCCUGCAUGAUGGAGUUUGCUAAGAUGUCUGCAGCUUAUUAAAGAAGUUAAUACAACGUGAUAUCGAAGUCACCGAGGGACAUAACGUUAUAGAAGGACAAGAUUGAACAACAUAAUGCAGCCUAACAGCAUCAGAGCAAUGAAGGCAUGUCAUAUAAAAGCAUGGCUCAGUUACAAGAUGUUUUCAUCGAAAGAUGAGAGAUCAACUUAAGAAUGCUAUGGACCUGACUUUAAGGAAUUGAUUUUACAGCAGCACUUCUCAUGUUGCCAGCCUUGUUAAGCGAGACACUUCAACAUUUCGUUGUGCUCCGGAUGAUGCAGUGGGUAGUGCUGUCACCUUACAGCAAGAAGGUCGCUGGUUCGAGCCUCGGCUGGAUCAGUUGGCAUUUGUGUGAGGAGUUUGCAUAUUCUUCCAGUGUUCGUGAAGGUUUCCUCCAAGUGCUCCGGUUUCCCCACAAGUCCAAAGACAUGCGCUAUAGCUGAAUUUGUGAACCAUCUUCACCACAUCCAACAGUUCAAGUACAGGAGGAGGCCACCGACUGGACAACUGUGUUAACAAGACGAGUCACAGCAGUCUUCAGAGUUGAUGGGAUUGCGAUUGGCCGGCCUAAUGAUGUGGACGAAUAUACAUUUUUGACAUAUCCAUCUUAUUAGAAGAUCACCUUGAUGUUUCUGCAGUGGAAUGUUUUGAAUGAA
rnacentral:lncRNA from 1 species